rnacentral:rRNA from 1 species
CUGCUGCCUCCCGUAGGAGUUUGGGCCGUGUCUCAGUCCCAAUGUGGCCGUUCACCCUCUCAGGCCGGCUACUGAUCGUCGGUUUGGUGGGCCGUUACCCCGCCAACUGCCUAAUCAGACGCGGAUCCAUCUCACACCACCUCAGUUUUUCACACUGUCCCAUGCGAGACUGUGCGCUUAUGCGGUAUUAGCAGUCAUUUCUAACUGUUAUCCCCCUGUGUGAGGCAGGUUAUCCACGCGUUACUCACCCG